rnacentral:rRNA from 1 species
GGGGGGGGGGGGGGGGGGGGCGGGGGGGGGGGGGGGGGGGGGGGGGUGCGGGUGUGGGGGGGCAGGGGGGGGUGGCGCGGGGGAGGCUGGCCUUGGGUUCGGCGUCACGCCCGGAAAGGGGUGGUGAUAGCGGCAAAUGUCUUGGGACCAAAGAUUUAUCGCCGUGGGUUGGGCCCGCGUUGGAUUCGCUAGUGGUUAGGGUAAAAGCCUACCAAGGCGACGAUCCAGAGCUGGUCUGAGAGGAUGAUCAGCCACACUGGGACUGAGACACGGCCCAGACUCCUACGGGAGGCAGCAGUGGGGAAUAUUGGACAAUGGGCGAAAGCCUGAUCCAGCAAUGCCGCGUGAGUGAUGAAGGCCUUAGGGCUGUAAAGCUCUUUUACCCGGGAUGAUAAUGACAGUACCGGGAGAAUAAGCUCCGGCUAACUCCGUG